AAUGAAUCAGUUUCACGUGUUGAAUUAAUUUCACCGGAGCGGGGCUGUGUUGUUCAGGUGAAUCCAGUCUUUUCCCUGCUCCUGUCUCACUCACUGAGGGAUAUGGCAGAGAUUCUCCAAACUUUGUGAGCCUCACAUUUCGAACAUGGAACAGAGACAAGAAGAGCGCGUGCAGCAAAAGGUUCAUUGUGAGAACUGAAUUAGACAAAUAAGAAUAUCCUAAAGAGACAUCAGAUAAUAAUCCUAGCAUCUUCUACUGUGAGAAUAAUGGAAAUUGACAUUGUGAAGUACAUGGAGAAACAUGAAAGAGCACUGGAUCAACAUCACACAUGGAAUAUAUUUGUAAAGAGACAGGCAGGAUUAUGUCAUACCCAGAAGGGAUAAUAAUCAGGUUUCACAAGCUCAGCAUCAAAUACAGGUCUUCCAUACCAGAG
ensembl:lncRNA